rnacentral:rRNA from 1 species
UAGGGAAUCUUCCACAAUGGACGCAAGUCUGAUGGAGCAACGCCGCGUGAGUGAAGAAGGUCUUCGGAUCGUAAAGCUCUGUUGUUGGUGAAGAAGGAUAGAGGCAGUAACUGGUCUUUAUUUGACGGUAAUCAACCAGAAAGUCACGGCUAACUACGUGCCAGCAGCCGCGGUAGUACGUAGGUGGCAAGCGUUGUCCGGAUUUAUUGGGCGUAAAGCGAGCGCAGGCGGAAUGAUAAGUCUGAUGUGAAAGCCCACGGCUCAACCGUGGAACUGCAUCGGAAACUGUCAUUCUUGAGUGCAGAAGAGGAGAGUGGAACUCCAUGUGUAGCGGUGGAAUGCGUAGAUAUAUGGAAGAACACCAGUGGCGAAGGCGGCUCUCUGGUCUGCAACUGACGCUGAGGCUCGAAAGCAUGGGUAGCGAACAGGAUUAGAUACCCUGGUAGUCCAUGCCGUAAACGAUGAGCGCUAGGUGUUGGGGACUUUCCGGUCCUCAGUGCCGCAGCAAACGCAUUAAGCGCUCCGCCUGGGGAGUACGACCGCAAGGUUGAAAC